rnacentral:snRNA from 1 species
AGUUCCGCUCAACCCGCGACUUC